rnacentral:rRNA from 1 species
AUGCCUAACACAUGCAAGUCGAACGAAGUCCUUCGGGGCUUAGUGGCGCACGGGUGCGUAACGCGUGGGAAUCUGCCUUUGGGUUCGGAAUAACAGUGAGAAAUUACUGCUAAUACCGGAUGAUGUCUUCGGACCAAAGAUUUAUCGCCCAAAGAUGAGCCCGCGUAAGAUUAGCUAGUUGGUGAGGUAAAGGCUCACCAAGGCGACGAUCUUUAGCUGGUCUGAGAGGAUGAUCAGCCACACUGGGACUGAGACACGGCCCAGACUCCUACGGGAGGCAGCAGUGGGGAAUAUUGGACAAUGGGCGAAAGCCUGAUCCAGCAAUGCCGCGUGAGUGAUGAAGGCCUUAGGGUUGUAAAGCUCUUUUACCAGGGAUGAUAAUGACAGUACCUGGAGAAUAAGCUCCGGCUAACUCCGUGCCAGCAGCCGCGGUAAUACGGAGGGAGCUAGCGUUGUUCGGAAUUACUGGGCGUAAAGCGCACGUAGGCGGCUAUUCAAGUCAGAGGUGAAAGCCCGGGGCUCAACCCCGGAACUGCCUUUGAAACUAGAUAGCUUGAAUCUUGGAGAGGCGAGUGGAAUUCCGAGUGUAGAGGUGAAAUUCGUAGAUAUUCGGAAGAACACCAGUGGCGAAGGCGACUCGCUGGACAAGUAUUGACGCU